GGAAAUGUCAGUACUAACCACAUUGAUCAAACCGUGAAUCCGUUCACCAUCCCACAUGUUCAUGAGCUCAAUUACUAAAAAUCCAGUCAAGCACCUAGGCAAGCUAAGAGAAACAUUUAAAUUUAAACUUCUCUAAAAAAUGAUUUAUUCAUCUUAUGAGGUAAAGUUGUAUUGUUACCUAUCAAAUGUCUUGGGAACAAGGCACGGAUAUAUAUGGUUCCAACCGUAAAUGUCGUCAUUCCAAGAGGGAUCUAUUUCAUCCAUGGCACGAUCAUACGUUCUAGAAAUCUUCUGUAUUCUAAGAAGAUAGUAGUAGGAUGGAUGAUUAUACGCAGGAUUGUGAUGAACUGGAGAAGGGUCAAUUAUAGAUAUCAUUCUUAGCAUGUUUGUCAAAUGCAACCAUGCCGAAACUUCCGCAUGCAUAGUAAGGCACCACAACCUACAUUGGUAGAUGUUAACAUAAAAUGUGUUCCAUUCAACGUUAGCUGAUAAUAGGUUGAAUUCAACUUACUAGCCGACAUUCAGAAAACGAAAC
rnacentral:lncRNA from 1 species